rnacentral:rRNA from 1 species
UACGAAGGGGGCUAGCGUUGUUCGGAAUUACUGGGCGUAAAGCGUGCGCAGGCGGCUUCUCAAGUCAGGGGUGAAAGCCCAGAGCUCAACUCUGGAAUUGCCUUUGAGACUGAGUGGCUUGAGUACGAGAGAGGUGAGUGGAAUUCCCAGUGUAGAGGUGAAAUUCGUAGAUAUUGGGAAGAACACCGGUGGCGAAGACGGCUCACUGGCUCGUAACUGACGCUCAUGCACGACAGCGUGGGGAUCAAACAGG